AUCCUGGCUCAGAACGAACGCUGGCGGCAGGCCUAACACAUGCAAGUCGAGCGAAGCCUUCGGGUUUAGCGGCGGACGGGUGAGUAACGCGUGGGAAUAUGCCCUUCUCUACGGAAUAGCCCUGGGAAACUGGGAGUAAUACCGUAUACGCCCUACGGGGGAAAGAUUUAUCGGAGAAGGAUUAGCCCGCGUUGGAUUAGGUAGUUGGUGGGGUAAUGGCCUACCAAGCCUACGAUCCAUANCUGGUUUGAGAGGAUGAUCAGCCACACUGGGACUGAGACACGGCCCAGACUCCUACGGGAGGCAGCAGUGGGGAAUCUUAGACAAUGGGGGCAACCCUGAUC
rnacentral:rRNA from 1 species